CACAAUCUGUCAGUCUUUAUUAUAUGUCAUUAAGAGAGUUGUUUCCCUUGGACCAGUGUUAUUCUAUGGGUCGGUGGUUAUGAUUUCCCGCCAGUUUGAUCAUGUGACUAUUGUGUUCAGUUGAGCUCACGUUUUCGAGGAAGAGACAUGUACAUUGUCCUCAUGGUUUUUAAAUUUUUGUGAUUUAUGGAAUAUCAGUAUUAUUUAUAAGGAUAGUAACAGCACACUGGAGAGAGAGAGAAGAGUGUAUAUUGUAUUUGUGUUGAUGUAAACACUUAGUUCCAUAAACUGAGUGUGGUUACUUAGAUGAUUGAUUGUAUUGAACUAGUCUUGUCUAAGAUACAUGCUGUGUCAACAGAAAAUAAAAGAGAUACAGAACCUACAAAUCCUUGACUUUUAUUCACCCUUUCAAACUGAUAAAUUUCAAAGGAGUUACAAAGGCGCCCAACGGGGGACCAGUGGCGCAGCCUGUUUAGACGAGAAGUGCUGACAAGUGAAUUUAACUUAACCGGAUUGGUGAUUGAAGGAUUUUUAGUAAAUAAGUGAAUUGGAUAUUAAUAAGUACAGAUAACGUGUGAAGUUUUAUAGACUUUUAUCGUAUCUUUACAUAUAUUGAAGUGUUAAUUGUCAAAAGUAUUUGAAUUUCACUCGACUACCAGAACUUUUACUGUGUUACAUAGUGAUUGACACAUCUUGAGACACUGAUAUUGAUCUUUGUUCAACUGAUCCUUUAAUCAAGAUAUAAUUGGAUUUAUAUGUGUAUCAACCUUGUAUUUGUGGAAAACAACUUUAUGUAACAUACAAGGAUUAAUUUUUCACAUGUAUUUAAAAAACAAACAACCUGCAUUUGACAUAGAAACAGACAGUUUAUUGUCAAAUCUUUAAAUAGAAGCAGAUAUCGGACACUAUUUUAAGUGAUUAAAUCAGCCGAUUUACCAUUAUUUCGUCUUUUACCCUUUGAAGAGCAGACCUAUUUCAUUUGGGGACCAGACGAUUAUUUCUACCUGAGAAGCAGACGAUACUUUAAUCUUUGGAGAGCGUAUCUAUUUCAUUUGGGGACCAGACGACGGACCUUACAGAGGAAACAACAUUAAUUUAGGACUAUUUCAUUAAGUUUUAAUUAUUUAAAAAGUGACAUUGACAUUUCAUUAUUAUAUGUGAAGAUAUCGAAGUAUUCUAGUGGCUUGACAGUAUUUCAACUGGUUGU